GAAGCAUGAGCUGUAUGUGAGUUUCCAAGACCUGGGAUGGCAGGUUCACCUUAUGAACCCCGAGUAUGUCCCCAAACCGUGCUGUGCGCCAACUAAGCUAAAUGCCAUCUCGGUUCUUUACUUUGAUGACAACUCCAAUGUCAUUCUGAAAAAAUACAGGAAUAUGGUUGUAAGAGCUUGUGGAUGCCACUAACUCGAAACCAGAUGCUGGGGACACACAUUCUGCCUUGGAUUCCUAGAUUACAUCUGCCUUAAAAAAACACGGAAGCACAGUUGGAGGUGGGACGAUGAGACUUUGAAACUAUCUCAUGCCAGUGCCUUAUUACCCAGGAAGAUUUUAAAGGACCUCAUUAAUAAUUUGCUCACUUGGUAAAUGACGUGAGUAGUUGUUGGUCUGUAGCAAGCUGAGUUUGGAUGUCUGUAGCAUAAGGUCUGGUAACUGCAGAAACAUAACCGUGAAGCUCUUCCUACCCUCCUCCCCCAAAAACCCACCAAAAUUAGUUUUAGCUGUAGAUCAAGCUAUUUGGGGUGUUUGUUAGUAAAUAGGGAAAAUAAUCUCAAAGGAGUUAAAUGUAUUCUUGGCUAAAGGAUCAGCUGGUUCAGUACUGUCUAUCAAAGGUAGAUUUUACAGAGAACAGAAAUCGGGGAAGUGGGGGGAACGCCUCUGUUCAGUUCAUUCCCAGAAGUCCACAGGACGCACAGCCCAGGCCACAGCCAGGGCUCCACGGGGCGCCCUUGUCUCAGUCAUUGCUGUUGUAUGUUCGUGCUGGAGUUUUGUUGGUGUGAAAAUACACUUAUUUCAGCCAAAACAUACCAUUUCUACACCUCAAUCCUCCAUUUGCUGUACUCUUUGCUAGUACCAAAAGUAGACUGAUUACACUGAGGUGAGGCUACAAGGGGUGUGUAACCGUGUAACACGUGAAGGCAAUGCUCACCUCUUCUUUACCAGAACGGUUCUUUGACCAGCACAUUAACUUCUGGACUGCCGGCUCUAGUACCUUUUCAGUAAAGUGGUUCUCUGCCUUUUUACUAUACAGCAUACCACGCCACAGGGUUAGAACCAACGAAGAAAAUAAAAUGAGGGUGCCCAGCUUAUAAGAAUGGUGUUAGGGGGAUGAGCAUGCUGUUUAUGAACGGAAAUCAUGAUUUCCCUUGUAGAAAGUGAGGCUCAGAUUAAAUUUUAGAAUAUUUUCUAAAUGUCUUUUUCACAAUCAUGUACUGGGAAGGCAAUUUCAUACUAAACUGAUUAAAUAAUACAUUUAUAAUCU
rnacentral:lncRNA from 1 species